rnacentral:rRNA from 1 species
ACCGCCCGUCACACCAUGGGAGUUGGCUUUACCCGAAGGCGGUGCGCUAACCAGCAAUGGAGGCAGCCGACCACGGUAGGGUCAGCGACUGGGUG